GACGAACGCUGGCGGCGUGCUUAACACAUGCAAGUCGAACGCUGAAGCUCAGCUUGCUGGGUGGAUGAGUGGCGAACGGGUGAGUAACACGUGAGUAACCUGCCCUCUUCUUUGGGAUAGCGCCCGGAAACGGGUGCUAAUACUGGAUAUUCACUGAUUCUCGCAUGGGGGUUGGUGGAAAGGUUUUUUCUGGUGGGGGAUGGGCUCGCGGCCUAUCAGCUUGUUGGUGGGGUGAUGGCCUACCAAGGCUUUGACGGGUAGCCGGCCUGAGAGGGUGACCGGUCACAUUGGGACUGAGAUACGGCCCAGACUCCUACGGGAGGCAGCAGUGGGGAAUAUUGCACAAUGGGCGAAAGCCUGAUGCAGCGACGCCGCGUGAGGGAUGGAGGCCUUCGGGUUGUAAACCUCUUUCGCUCAUGGUCAAGCCGCAGCUUUGGGUUGUGGUGAGGGUAGUGGGUAAAGAAGCGCCGGCUAACUACGUG
rnacentral:rRNA from 1 species